rnacentral:rRNA from 1 species
AACGAACGCUGGCGGCGCGUCUUAACCAUGCAAGUCGAGCGGCAGGCAGCAAUGCCGAGAGCGGCGGACUGGUGAGUAACACGUGGAUAACGUACCCCGAUGCCCGGGACAGCCUGUAGAAAUAGAGGGUAAUACCGGAUAGAUCACUGACUACGGAAGGUAGACAGCGGGAAAGGAGCUUCGGCUCCGCGACGGGAUCGGUCUGCGGCCCAUCAAGCUCGUUGGUGAGGUAAGAGCUCACCAAGGCGAGGACGGGUAUCCGGCCUGAGAGGGCGGACGGACACAUUGGGACUGAGAUACGGCCCAGACUCCUACGGGAGGCAGCAGGUAAGAAUAUUCCGCAAUGGGGGGAACCCUGACGGAGCGACGCCGCGUGAACGAAGAAGGCCGGAAGGUUGUAAAGUUCUUUUCUGUCCGAGGAAUAAGUGUAGGAGGAAAUGCCUGCAUGGUGACGGUAGGGCAGGAAUAAGCACCGGCUAAUUACGUGCCAGCAGCCGCGGUAACACGUAAGGUGCGAGCGUUGUUCGGAAUUAUUGGGCGUAAAGGGCAUGCAGGCGGGACGCCAAGCUUGGUAAGAAAUACCGGGGCUCAACUCCGGAGCUAUAUUGAGAACUGGCGAGCUAGAGUUGCCGAAGGGUAUCCGGAAUUCCGCGUGAAGGGGUGAAAUCUGUAGAUAUGCGGAAGAACACCGAUGGCGAAGGCAGGAUACCGGCGGACGACUGACGCUGAGGUGCGAAGGUGCGGGGAGCAAACAGG